ACAGUGGACGCGAGCAUCUGUGGCCAAGUUUUUAAGGGCGCACGGUGGAUGCCUUGGCACCAGGAACCGAUGAAGGACGUGGGAGGCCACGAUAGUCCCCGGGGAGUCGUCAACCAGGCUUUGAUCCGGGGGUUUCCGAAUGGGGAAACCCGRCAGUCGUCAUGGGC
rnacentral:rRNA from 1 species